UACGUAGGGCGCAAGCGUUGUCCGGAAUUAUUGGGCGUAAAGAGCUCGUAGGUGGUUUGUUACGUCUGCUGUGAAAACCUAGGGCUUAACCCUGGGCCUGCAGUGGAUACGGGCAGACUAGAGGUAGGUAGGGGAGAAUGGAAUUCCCGGUGUAGCGGUGAAAUGCGCAGAGUAUCGGGAGGAACACCGGUGGCGAAGGCGGUUCUCUGGGCCUUACCUGACACUGAGGAGCGAAAGCGUGGGGAGCGAACAGG
rnacentral:rRNA from 1 species